rnacentral:rRNA from 1 species
UACGUAGGGUGCGAGCGUUGUCCGGAAUUACUGGGCGUAAAGAGCUCGUAGGUGGUUUGUCGCGUUGUUCGUGAAAACUCACAGCUCAACUGUGGGCGUGCGGGCGAUACGGGCAGACUUGAGUACUGCAGGGGAGACUGGAAUUCCUGGUGUAGCGGUGGAAUGCGCAGAUAUCAGGAGGAACACCCGUGGCGAAGGCGGCUCUCUGGGACGGUACUGACGCUGAGACGCGAAAGCGUGGGGAGCGAACAGG